rnacentral:rRNA from 1 species
GACGAACGCUGGCGGCGUGCUUAACACAUGCAAGUCGAACGGAAAGGCCCUGCUUUUGUGGGGUGCUCGAGUGGCGAAAGGGUGAGUAACACGUGAGUAACCUGCCCUUGACUUUGGGAUAACUUCAGGAAACUGGGGCUAAUACCGGAUAGGAGCUCCUGCUGCAUGGUGGGGGUUGGAAAGUUUCGGCGGUUGGGGAUGGACUCGCGGCUUAUCAGCCUGUUGGUGGGGUAGUGGCUUACCAAGGCUUUGACGGGUAGCCGGCCUGAGAGGGUGACCGGCCACAUUGGGACUGAUAUACGGCCCAGACUCCUACGUGAGGCAGCAGUGGGGAAUAUUGCACAAUGGGCGGAAGCCUGAUGCAGCAACGCCGCGUGCGGGAUGACGGCCUUCGGGUUGUAAACCGCUUUCGCCUGUGACGAAGCGUGAGUGACGGUAAUGGGUAAAGAAGCACCGGCUAACUACGUG